AUUCUUUUUAAUAGCUGAGUAGUACUCCAUUGUGUAGAUGUACCACAUUUUCUGUAUCCAUUCCUCUGUUGAGGGGCAUCUAGGUUCUUUCCAGCUUCUGGCUAUUAUAAAUAAGGCUGCUAUGAACAUAGUGGAGCAUGUGUCCUUCUUACCAGUUGGGGCAUCUUCUGGAUAUAUGCCCAGGAGAGGUAUUGCUGGAUCCUCCGGUAGUACUAUGUCCAGUUUUCUGAGGAACCGCCAGACUGAUUUCCAGAGUGGUUGUACAAGCCUGCACUCCCACCAACAAUGGAGGAGUGUUCCUCUUUCUCCACAUCCUCGCCAGCAUCUGCUGUCACCUGAAUUUUUGAUCUUAGCCAUUCUGACUGGUGUGAGGUGGAAUCUCAGGGUUGUUUUGAUUUGCAUUUCCCUGAUGAUUAAGGAUGUUGAACAUUUUUUCAAGUGCUUCUCUGCCAUUCGGUAUUCCUCAGGUGAGAAUUCUUUGUUCAGUUCUGAGCCCCAUUUUUUAAUGGGGUUAUUUGAUUUUCUGAAGUCCACCUUCUUGAGUUCUUUAUAUAUGUUGGAUAUUAGUCCCCUAUCUGAUUUAGGAUAGGUAAAGAUCCUUUCCCAAUCUGUUGGUGGUCUUUUUGUCUUAUUGACGGUGUCUUUUGCCUUGCAGAAACUUUGGAGUUUCAUUAGGUCCCAUUUGUCGAUUCUCGAUCUUACAGCACAAGCCAUUGCUGUUCUGUUCAGGAAUUUUUCCCCUGUGCCCAUAUCUUCAAGGCUUUUCCCCACUUUCUCCUCUAUAAGUUUCAGUGUCUCUGGUUUUAUGUGAAGUUCCUUGAUCCACUUAGAUUUGACCUUAGUACAAGGAGAUAAGUAUGGAUCGAUGCAUCUUAUUUAACCCUCAAAUCUUUCUCAGGUCACUACCAUUAUAAACAGCAGAUUACACAUGAACCAACUGUAGUUCAGAGAGACUAAAUCAUUCAGGUGCUUCAGCCUUACAAGUUUAAGCCAGUGUUCUUCAACAAUGCCCAGCACUACAGAGGCUGAGGCAGGAAGAUGCUGUUUUGAGGCCAACAUUGAGAAGAAUAGUCUGAUCCAAACCACAAAGAGCCUGCAUC
rnacentral:lncRNA from 1 species